GACAUGGAAAGCGGCUCUUGAGGACAGGGCUUGGAGACCCCUGGUUCAGCCUUUUGAAAAGAGGAUAAUGGAAAAGUAAUGAAACUUGGAUUGAUGAAGAAGGUUCUGACGGGUCAUUGACUGAAAGUUGCCUCGCUCGGUCCUCACCUCCGGGUAGCAGUCUUUGGCGAAAACGUGCAGCAGCGCCGUCUUGCCACACUGCGCGUCACCCACUACCACGAUCUUACAGCGGCUGCCUUGAGUCUCCAUGCCGCUCAGAGCCUUGGCCGGCGUGCUGCUCCUCCUCUGCAGCGGUUGACAGUCUGACUGAGUGUCGGUCGACUGACCGCCCGCCCGCCCGGACUGAGGUGAGGUGAGCCACCAGAAGGCAGGCAGACGAGCGAGCGGGUAGGCACUGGCACAG